rnacentral:rRNA from 1 species
AGUGAACGCUGGCGGUAGGCCUAACACAUGCAAGUCGAACGGCAGCACAGUAAGAGCUUGCUCUUACGGGUGGCGAGUGGCGGACGGGUGAGGAAUACAUCGGAAUCUACUUUUUCGUGGGGGAUAACGUAGGGAAACUUACGCUAAUAACGCAUACGACCUACGGGUGAAGGCAGGGGAUCUUCGGACCUUGCGCGAUUGAAUGAGCCGAUGUCGGAUUAGCUAGUUGGCGGGGUAAAGGCCCACCAAGGCGACGAUCCGUAGCUGGUCUGAGAGGAUGAUCAGCCACACUGGAACUGAGACACGGUCCAGACUCCUACGGGAGGCAGCAGUGGGGAAUAUUGGACAAUUGGCGCAAGCCUGAUCCAGCCAUACCGCGUGGGUGAAGAAGUCCUUCGGGUUGUAAAGCCCUUUUGUUGGGAAAGAAAAGCAGCAGGUUAAUACCCCGCUGUUCUGACGGUACCCAAAGAAUAAGCACCGGCUAACUUCGUG